rnacentral:lncRNA from 1 species
UAUACACAUUGUCUAGCUGUGUGUGUAUGUGUGUGCCCAUGAGCAUGUGCGUGAGCAUUUGUGUGUGUGUGUGUGUGUGUGUGUGUGUGUGUGUGUGAUGCCUGUUCUGUAGGCUGUCAUGUGGCCUUCAAAGUGUAGGGUGUGAAGAGCACGUAGUAUUAUGACAUGUUCAUGGCAGCCCUGGAGAAGGCAUCAAAGCCAGUAUUCUGUCAGAGGGGUCAUGUGAUUAAUAGGUGAGGUUUAUUAUCUCUUUCCUGUGCUGUGGUUGCCCCCUGUUGUCUUUCCUUAGGGAAGUCCCCAGGAGUGAAACUGUAGGGCAAAAAGGACCAGCACGCCCCCCCCCCCCAGUUUCUUCUGGCCCCACAGCCCACUGAGUGUCCUAGUGGACUCUGCAUGGCUGCUGUUCUUUGGGGCCCUAUGAGCAAUGUAGUUCUGCCUGCCUAGAGCAAGCUUCAUUUCCUCCAUGUGACGUGGUCUGCAAGUUGAGAUGGCCUCCUUUCUGCAGGGUCAGCCCUCAUGGUUUCUCCUGUCUCUUUGCCAGAGCUGUUGCUUAUUGGUUUUUCUUUAAAAUGGUUUCAUUUGGGGGUGGGUGGGUGUUGGGGCUCUAACCUUGGGCUGUUUCUCAUGCUAGGCAUGUGUCCUGCCACUGAGCUAUGCCCUCCAGGCCUGGUCAUAAUCUUUUUUAUCAUCUGCUUAGUAUGUACAUUGUUGUGGUGACUUGAGCAGGCUGUCUCCCUCAAGUGUCUGGCAUGCCCUGUUGGUGGCUAUUUGGGGAGUACUAGGAGGUGUGGCUAGCUGGAGGAAGUGUAUCACUGGAGCCUGGUUUUGGGGGGUUCAGAUACUCUAAACCCUGAGUUAGCUCUCUAUGCCUCCAGCUGUGGUUCCAGAUGUGAGCUGUCGGCUGCCGCUUCAGCUGCCUGCCUCCUGCUCAGCCAUCUCAGACUCUAACCUUCUACAACCAGAAGCCCAAAUAAACCCUUCUUUGUAAGUCACCUUGGUUAUGGGAUUUUAUCAUAGCAAUAGGAAAGGAACUGACAUAUGCUGAGUUUUUUUGUGUAAGGUUCUCAGUAAGUGUUACUAGUGAAUUGAUUGGUAAUGGCACUCAGUAGUAUGGUUUCAUGGCCUUUGUGUGCUUAGGGACUUCAAUACUAGCAAUAUUUUUAAAUGGGCAACUCAGCAAAGCAUGCACAAGUGAGGAAAUACCCCACAGAAGCUAUGAGAGGGGCCAUUUGUUUACAGCAGAUGCUACAGCAGGGACGUAGAACUAACAAACUCUCUCUCUGUCUCUCUGUCUCUCUUUCUCUCUCUUGUCAUUAUUUCCUAAAUAAUGCAAUAACCAUUUACAUGUAAUUUUUGUUACAGUAAGUAUUAUAAGCAAUCUAGAGUUGAUAUAAACUGUCCAGGUGGGGGCCAGGUGAGGUGGUGCACAUCUAUAAUCCCAGUACUCAGGAGGUAGAGGCAGGGGCUCUGGAGUUCAGGGCCAGCCUUAGUUAUAUAUCAAGUUCAAGACUGGACUGGGCUACACAAGAACUUGUCAUAAGAAAAGUCAAACAAAAGCCAGGACGAGGGGCUCAGUGAUUAAGAGCACUUACUGCUCUACCAGAGGGGGUCAGAUGGAGUUCAGAUCUCAAGUCCACACUGGGUGACUCCGAAUGCCUUUAACUCCAGCUUCAAAGGAUCUGACGCCCUCUUCUGGCCUCCACGAGUAUUGGAGAACACAUGCACAGACAUACACAUUUUACAAACAAAACAAAAUCCAAGUUCAGGGCCAGCCUGAUCUCCAUAGUGAGCUCCAGGACAGCAGGGCUACACAGAGAAACUCUGUCUUGAAAACCAAAAACCAAACAAAAAUAAAAAUGAGAGUGGACAUGCGGGGUCUGUGCCUGCGGCGCCUGUUGGAUGUAUAUAUGUGACUAGUCUGCUUAGAUCAUGCUUUGCACAAAAGCAACUUAAGGAACAUUUAUUUGGGUUGGGGGCCCACAGUGUUGGGGAGCAGAGAGCGGGCAGGAUGCAUCUUUAUUCACACAGGAAGCAGAAUGUGAACAACCAGUCAGGAGAGCUAUAAACUGUCAAAGCUGGCCCCACAGUGACAUGCCUUCUCCAGCAAGGCUGCACCUUCUUAGAGUUUCACAGCCUCCCCAGACAGUACCGCCAGCCAGGGACCAAGUGUUCAGUACAUGAGCCUGUGGGGGCUACUUCUCAUUCAGAUCACCGCAGGUGGGGAGGUGGGUGGUUCAGUACCCAACCCUCUUGGAUACCAAAGGACCAACUGUACUGAUUUUGGAGAGUUAAAAAUAAGUCUCAAAGCAACUGUGGUGGUGCCUGGAGCUAACCCUGGCACCCAGUAGAUUAAGCAGCGGAGCAGUAGGGGUUCAAGACCAUCCUUAGCUACAUGGUGAGUAGCUUGGGCUUCAUGAGCCCCAACGU